GCAGAGAUACUUUCACUUGGAAGAGAGAAUUUUGCGAUAAUUUACAUUGCCCAAUAUUUCAAGAGAAAGGGGGAGGGUGUUUGCGCUUUGAUCUAGCUACUUAACAAGUGUGGGGGAGGGUGUAAGCUGGACUCAAUCCUUAGGUCCCAGAUUAUGGUUGAACAAGUAUCCUUUAUCGGGCUAUAUGGUUGAAUUGAAAUGUCGUUGUUUUUUUAAAGACAUAAUGACGUUAUUAUUUUACAAGGCAAGAAUAAUACAUCCGUUUCUAUGCAGAGUUAUGAGAAAUACAAUGGUUUGGGUAUUGCAGGAGGAGGAGGCCGAGCACAAUUGCAAUAGGCAUUCCUGAACAAUCAGUGGCAGAACUUAGCAACAAAUGUGGGGGAGGGGGUAAGCUAGAGGUAGUUUGCGCUUUGAUCUAAUUAACCGGUGAAAUUAAGGUUCUCCUUAAAAAUAUUUGAGAGGGGGUAGUUUGCAAAUAUUUGUGCUAGAGGUAGUUUGCGCUUUGGCAACAAAUGUGGCAGAUCUUGAUCUAAUUGCCCCUUUAAUCUCCGGAAAGCUCCACCACUACAAGUUCCAAGGACCGGAGAAUGGGAACUAAUUUGCACCAUAAGAAUCUCAUUAGGUUGUUAUGGUACUACUACCAAGACGAAGGAAAGUUUCAUGCCUACGAGUAUACACAUAACAGCAUUGACAAAUUUUGGUACAAUGGUAAGCUUG
rnacentral:lncRNA from 1 species